rnacentral:rRNA from 1 species
GAUGAACGCUGGCGGCGUGCCUAAUACAUGCAAGUCGAGCGAACAGACGAGGAGCUUGCUCCUCUGACGUUAGCGGCGGACGGGUGAGUAACACGUGGAUAACCUACCUAUAAGACUGGGAUAACUUCGGGAAACCGGAGCUAAUACCGGAUAAUAUAUUGAACCGCAUGGUUCAAUAGUGAAAGACGGUUUUGCUGUCACUUAUAGAUGGAUCCGCGCCGCAUUAGCUAGUUGGUAAGGUAACGGCUUACCAAGGCAACGAUGCGUAGCCGACCUGAGAGGGUGAUCGGCCACCCUGGAACUGAGACACGGUCCAGACUCCUACGGGAGGCAGCAGUAGGGAAUCUUCCGCAAUGGGCGAAAGCCUGACGGAGCAACGCCGCGUGAGUGAUGAAGGUCUUCGGAUCGUAAAACUCUGUUAUUAGGGAAGAACAAAUGUGUAAGUAACUAUGCACGUCUUGACGGUACCUAAUCAGAAAGCCACGGCUAACUACG